rnacentral:tRNA from 1 species
UCUUAGAUGACUGAGCAUUAGGUGUUAGAUUUUUAAUCUAAAAACGGCAAUUUGUGCCUCUAAGAA